GACUUCCGCUGCCGCAAGGCCAGGCUCCCUGGCAGUACUUCUGAUGAGGUGACAUCCUGCAGCGUUCCGCGACCCUUCUGUGUGCUGGUGUUUCGGUGUGUCUUCUCGGGGACCGAGUCUGCAUCUCCGGGGAGAAGAGGGGCACCGCUGGCGUCGGCCGGUCCUCUCUAGCUGGGCUCUGCUUGAGACGGCGCUGCCCAGGAUUCCUGGACCCGUCUCAGCUGCUUGUGGAGCCCUGGAGAGAGUCUAGCUUCCCACGGGAGUCUGUCAGAGGAACGGUGAUGGCAGAUAGCAGUGUCCUAAAGCCUUAAGUGCUUGCUUCCCAGAGCCCUGCCUUGUCUCAAAGAGAAGAGAACAAUGACCAAGUUACAGGUCUCCUGUUUCUGGGACUCUGGAGGCAAGAAGAUUCCUGGUACUCACUGGCAGCCAUCCUAGCCUAUUUGGCAAGUUCCAGGCCAGUGAAAGGCCCUAUUUCCGCCCCCCCCCCCAAAAAAAAAAUGAUGGCCUGCACCAAAGGCUGUCUUCUAGUUUCUAAAUGCAUGUGCACCCUCAUGUACAUAGGUACACUGACAUGUAUGCAUACGUGUGCACACAGAUCACUGGUCACCCUCAUUUCCUGCAUUUGAAAUUCAUAUCCUGAAUAACCAAGGAGCAUCUGGCUACCACCAUCUGCAAACCUUCUGGGGUUGACCUACCUUGGGCAAUGAGGGCAUCAAGAAAGAACAGAUUUUACUAAUGAAGUAUUCUGAAUCUAAAAUUCAUAAUGUUGCACAACAUAAAACAUUUUAAAUGAUGUCAUCAUUCAUGGACUGUCAUUCAGAGCAGUUUGGAUUUGUGACUGAAGAUACACCUGAACUGUACUGCCCAGAAGGAGCAGGGCAUUGUCAGCUCUUUCCAGUACAAAGUCAGUACAUGACUCCCGACAUGGGUUGGAAUCCGUGACUUCCCAUUUAACGGUGGCGGACCUACUGACCCAGCUGUGGAAAUGGCACCAAGUUCCUUGUACCGUGUUUUCUCUUUGCCUCUAUCCCCUCUGUAGCUAUAGAAAGGGGUGAAUAGGUAUACUGGCUGGUGUUACGUGUCAAGUUGACACCAGCGAGAGUCAUCAAAGAGCCUCAGUUGAGGUCCUGGGUUCUAUAAGAAAACAUGCUGAGCAAGCCAGUAUAUAGCACCACUCCAUAGCUUCUGCAUCAGCUCCUUUCUCCAGGUUCCUGCCCCUGCUCGAGUUCCUGUCCUGACUUCCUUCAAUAAUGAACAGGAAUAUGAAAGUGUAAGCCUAAUAAACCCUUUUCUUCCC
rnacentral:lncRNA from 1 species